GUCGGAAAGCGGCCUUCUGGGACUCCGCAAACUCCCGUUCUCCCUCCCCCCUCCCCCUUGCCAUUCCCUUUGCCUUCCGGGCGCCAAGUCUCUCUGGCCUCCAAGGUGAACCCAACUCCCCAGCGCGCCCCGGGUUCCCGGGUCGGGCCGGCUUCAGGCGGUGGGGAGCGGGAUCCCGGGCCCCGGGCGGGCGGGAGGGACGGGACGCGGUGCAGUGUUGUUUUUUCCCCCGCCAAUAUUGCACUCGUCCCGGCCUCCGGCCCCCCCGGCCCCCCGGCCUCCCCGCUACCCCUAGCGGGGCAGCCCCCGCCCUCCUGGCUCUCCAUCCCGGCGGAUCUUUGAUAGACUGGAGUGUCGCCGCUGCCACCACGGGAAAAUGGGUCAUGGAGGAGUGACUUCACCAACAUCACUCAUAGGUGCUUGUGUCCGUGGUGAGAAGGGUGAUGGAGAGAAGUGGCUGCAGUUCCCACCCAUGGAGAGGUCACUGGUGAAUCCCAGCUAAAGAGGAAGGACAGGCCCGGCCUGAGUCCCACAGGCUUACCAUCUGAGUCCUUCUGAUUGGGAUUGGGUACCAGGCGGCAGUUAUCGGGACCAGGAGGCACAUAAUCUGGGAUGCCAUCAUUGUCAUCAUCCCCAUCACACUCAUCUCCAAGUCCAUCGUUAUCAGAGUCCAGCUGGGAGCUAUUUGGCAGCUGUGGGCAGUUGUCCUUGGUGUCCUGAUGCCCAUCCCCAUCGCUAAUCAGAAGAACAGGUACCAAAUAAAGGAUUUAAAGGUA
rnacentral:lncRNA from 1 species